AAAUGAAGGAAGCAUGGUUAUGUGUACAGAAAUUGAAUUGAGUCGACAUGUCUGCUCCCUCUGAUUUCCCAUGAUUUGGGGGCCUGGUUUAGACUCACAUCC
rnacentral:snoRNA from 1 species